rnacentral:lncRNA from 1 species
CUUUGUCUCUGACUGUGAAACCUGCAGAAGCACGGCUGGAUGCCAAGGAAAAGGAGAAGAAAAAGCAGAGACAAGAAGGAAACACAGAGAGAGGAAGAAGGGAGAGGAGAGGACAGGAGUGAAAAGCAGAGCAAAUAGAGACAAAGAAAAAGGAGACUGAUGUUUCCUUGCUUAAGCUCCUCUCGCUAAGUGGUGGAAUGAGAACUUCUGACUCCAAGUCCAUUACUGAGAGCAGCCGUGGGAGACUGGAAGGAAGAAGGGGAGAGUCUGAAACAUCAGUUCAGAGUGCAGAGAACCUGAAAAUGCCAUCAGACCGGAACAUCAGACCAGAAUUCCUUCUAGUUUAGGUCAAAAGUCUGGAGUAGGUGUGGCUAUAUGACAUACAACCAGGAUGAUUAGAUCGACUUUCGGGCACACCUACUCACUUUGAAUUUUCUUGUGCAACUGAGCAUUUGCUCUCAAACUCCCAGCCUCUGAUGUCCUGUGAAGUUUCUGGGGUGGCAGAGUUGGAACCAACUUCAAACCAGUUUAAGUCUCUGAUUCAGUUCACAAACCCUCCCUCUCCAGCUCUGUGGUCAGUCUUUUGCAUCAGAGCCUACAAGCAUCUUUUUUUCUUUUGCGCUCCUUUGGGACCCCUCCCUCCACUCUCCCUCAGUCUCCCAACUCCUCUCUGCACUGCCUUUCCCCCUUAAUCUCUCCUGACCACGCCGUGUCUGCUACAUCCACUCCUCCCACCAUCAGGGUCUCUGUGCCUCUCUCCCCCGUGAGCCCCUCCGUCGUCCUCUCCCGGGCACCUACCUGGGCUCUGCAGCCACAGGCACCUCCUGGCUGCCCCUCUGAUUUCUUGGUUCUGUCUGUCUGGUGCCGCCUGCCUCCAUCCAGGGCCUGGGAGUCAUGAAAGUCUU